GGCUUAGAGUUUGAUCAUGGCUCAGGACGAACGCUGGCGGCGUGCUUAACACAUGCAAGUCGAACGGGGUGUUUAUUUCGGUAAACACCAAGUGGCGAACGGGUGAGUGACGCGUAAGCAAUCUACCUUCAAGAUGGGGACAACACUUCGAAAGGGGUGCUAAUACCGAAUGAAUGUAAGAGUAUCGCAUGAGACACUUACUAAAGGAGGCCUAUGAAUAUGCUUCCGCUUGAAGAUGAGCUUGCGUCUGAUUAGCUAGUUGGUGAGGGUAAAGGCCCACCAAGGCGACGAUCAGUAGCCGGUCUGAGAGGAUGAACGGCCACAUUGGGACUGAGACACGGCCCAGACUCCUACGGGAGGCAGCAGUGGGGAAUCUUCCGCAAUGGGCGAAAGCCUGACGGAGCAACGCCGCGUGAACGAUGAAGGUCUUAGGAUCGUAAAGUUCUGUUGUUAGGGACGAAGGGUAAGAAUCAUAAUACGGUUUUUAUUUGACGGUACCUAACGAGGAAGCCACGGCUAACUACGUGCCAGCAGCCGCGGUAAUACGUAGGCGGCAAGCGUUGUCCGGAAUUAUUGGGCGUAAAGGGAGCGCAGGCGGGAAACUGAGCGGAUCUUAAAAGUGCGGGGCUCAACCCCGUGAGGGGGUCCGAACUGGUUUUCUUGAGUGCAGGAGAGGAAAGCGGAAUUUCUCAGUGUAGCGGUGAAAUGCGUAGAUAUUGGGAAGAACACCAGUGGCGAAGGCGGCUUUCUGGACUGUAACUGACGCUGAGCUCGAAAGCUAGGGUAGCGAACGGGAUUAGAUACCCCGGUAGUCCUAGCCGUAAACGAUGGAUACUAGUGUGGGGAGGUAUCGACUCCUUCCGUGCNGAG
rnacentral:rRNA from 1 species